UGUCAGUACCCAUGUGACGAAAUGCUGUGAACCCCGCCAGGCCCGGAAGGGAGCAACGGUAACAGUUGCUUCGGGUGCAAAGGGAUUGCUGGCGCAG
rnacentral:SRP_RNA from 1 species